AAGGAACCACUAGAUGGAAAAUGGAAGAGUCAAGUUUGCUGCUGCUCCUUUUCCUCAUCAGAUUACAUGACUCCUUUGUUCAAAGGUCUCUGGAAAUUGUCAUUUCAGCCCUCUCACCUGUAAGAUUCAGCCAGCUGUGCUGUUGAAGGGUGAAGUGAAGAGCUGUUAACUGUUUGCUUAAAUUAAAUGAGUAAUAUCUGGAAGGUGAAGGAAGAAGAAAAUGGAAAAGAACAACACACAAAAAAAAAAAAAGCUAGCAGCAGCCUAGUAGGAGUAAAAGAUUCUUCCUCUGUAUCCUUAUCUCAAAACAUAUUGGACUCCCAAAUCUUAAGUUAUCGGAGAAUAACUUCAUUUUUGUGGUGAAAUUAAUUUUGGGUAUGUAUUUUAAGCAUAAUACACAGUGUUUAUUUAGGAAUUUGUCUUCCCAGUCUUGAUAGUUUACUGGACACAAUAACUGAGCACUUCUGUGGUUCUUUCUGACACGAUGCAAAUUAGCUAGCAACUGUGAAUUAACAUAGAUUUGGUUACAGAUGGAAGUGCGAGGCAAAUCACAUUUAUGGUUUAAACCCAUUAAUGUUUACAACUGUUGUUUUAAAUUAGAUUUGCUUUUAAGUAGGUUGCCUGUGAGAAUCCUUUUGGGUUUCUAAGAUGAAAGAAACUGAGCACGUAACUAGUUACCUGUGGUGUGGAUAUUCAUAAUGCCUUUUGAUUUAAGAAAAAGAUAUAAAUUGCAAUAUAGAGCCACACUCUAAAACUUCAGUUAUGCUUGUAAAAAAAAAAAAAGAUUGGUCUGUUCCUAUUAUCACUGUUUUUUAGAAUUUUAUCUCAGUAGUGUUUAUUGCCUGAGCUUCUGAAAAAAUGUAAGAUUGAAUUGCUUACUUAAACAUGAGUACAAUGAACCC
rnacentral:lncRNA from 7 species